rnacentral:rRNA from 1 species
UACGUAGGGUGCGAGCGUUGUCCGGAAUUAUUGGGCGUAAAGGGCUCGUAGGCGGUUUGUCGCGUCGGGAGUGAAAACCUCGGGCUUAACUCGGGGCUUGCUUUCGAUACGGGCAGACUGGAGGUAUGCAGGGGAGAACGGAAUUCCUGGUGUAGCGGUGAAAUGCGCAGAUAUCAGGAGGAACACCGGUGGCGAAGGCGGGUCUCUGGGCCGAAACUGACGCUGAGGAGCGAAAGCGUGGGGAGCAAACAGG